UUGCAUACAGUCACUUAGCUGAGUUUACAAAGUUGGCGGGGCCUUUUUGCGAAACCCAACAAGACACCUAGUAGAGAAAUUUCGUACUACUUUAUCGUUGUCGUUGUCGUCUGCGUUGUGUUGGAAUGUUUGGUUCAAGAAGAAGAUCUACGAUGCUGUCAUUUUUCUAACGUCCAGUUGAAGCCAUUCUGAGAAGGUCAUAACUCAUAAGGAACGUUACUUAAGUGUCAUGCGGUGGUUUAAGGUUGGGUGGGAUUUGAGUAAGACACGUGUUCAACAUUUUGCUGCAAGGCUUGAGUUGAGAGGUAAGGUUGAAAGAAACUUUUCAAUUUCCAAUGAAUUUGAUUGAAGGUCAUAAGGAAAAUUACGUAAAAGUGUCAUGUGGUGGUGUAGAGGUUGGGUGAGAAGAGAAUGACACGUGUUUCAUCAUUAUCAAGCAGGUACAAUAGCCGCAAGGCUUGAGAGGUGAGGGUAAGAAAAAUUGGUUUAAAAGGAAAUAGAAAAGGCAAAAGAGAUCAGUCGAAAGAGUAUCUCCGACCCGAUAACAACUGCAGUACAAAAUUUGUCACCAACUGCAUUAUUCUCAUUCGUAAUCGAAGAUAAUUAUGGCGUCGUUCUGCUGUUGGUUAUCGUUGUGUCGACGACUGGCGUACCGAUGUCUCCUGGGUAUGGCGGAUACCAAACCGCAACGCUGCCGUCUAACUACAAAACAAAAUCAAACGCAACGACCAGUUACUACACCGAGGCCCCCAACUACUACACUGAGAAGCUAGGCCGAAUGUUACACAGCCACGUAUGCUGCCCCAGUCAACUACACCGAGGUCCCCAAAUAAUACUCUGCUCCAAGCUACUACCAGAGGCUGAUAGCUACAUCAAGGUCCCCGAAUAUUAAACUACAACCUACGCUGCUCCCAGCUACUACACACCGCAACAACUGUAGUGCUGUAUCAGUCAUCAACUGCAUUCUUCCAAUUCUCAUUCAUGGUUAACUAUGGCGUCGUUCUACCGUUUGUUAUCGUUUAUUGCUAUGUCGACCACUACCGAUGUCUCAUGGGUAUGGAGGAUACAGAACCGCAACGUCGCCGCCUAACUACAUAACAACAAACGCAACAACCAGUUACUACACCGAAGCCCACAAGUACUACUCAGAUCCCAGCUGCUAUACCGAGGCUCCCGCUUAUUACAUCAUCGAGGCCCACCUGUACUACACCACCAAGGCACCGGAGUAUUACACCACAACCUACGCUGUUCCAGCCUACUACACCGAGGUUCCCAAG